rnacentral:lncRNA from 1 species
GCCCAAUGGAAAUCCCGAAUUUCUACAUGCCCUAUUCCAGUCAUUCAUUCAUGUAGCAAGUUGUCCCCCCACCACCACCUCUUUCUCUCUCUUUUCUGGUUUGGACUGCCCACCAUGCAAACUACCAGAUGCUUUGGCAGAGAUUUAAAAUAACAUGGCAGAGUUCAUUGGAUUUUUCACUCAGAAAUGAGCUCUCAAUUUCUUUCUGGCUUUUGAGAAAGUUUUCAAAGCCCCCUAUUAACUCCAGGUGAUGCCGCCUCUAAACCUGAGACAUGUUUCUAUUCCACUUGUAUACACGACUGCUUUCUAAAAUAUAAAUACAACAUUUCGUUCAGUCCUUUGCAACUAUAAAUGUUUAAUGGAGCAUUGUCGCCAUUUACUAGAGAGGGAAACUGAGGCAUUGGAAUGUUCUAUUACACAGCCAAAAUUUUGAGAUUGAAUUUGGAACUGUUGCAAUUUUCAUGAUCACUCACUUCCUUUUUCAUUUAUAUGGUAAUCUGUGUCCACAGAAGUUAGGGAUUACUUUUUGUCUAAGCAAUUGUUUUAGGCUUACAUAAUGAUCAGGUAUGAUAGGCAACUGUGACUUUUAAGGAUUAUGUAAUGAUUGUACCUGCAUUUUUAUAUUUAUGAAGACCAC